GGUGACGCUGGCGGCGUGCCUAACACAUGCAAGUCGAGCGGUGCAGUUUGAAGCUUCGGUGGAAAGCUGCAUAGCGGCGGACGGGUGAGGAAAACGUAGGAACGUGCCCCUUGGAGUUGGAUAGCCACGGGAAACUGUGGGUAAACCGACAUAGGCUCGAGAGAGUAAAGGCCGAAAGGCGCCAAGGGAGCGGCCUGCGGCCCAUCAGGUAGUUGGUAGUGUAAAGGACUACCAAGCCGACGACGGGUAGCCGGUCUGAGAGGAUGGCCGGCCACAAGGGCACUGAGAGACGGGCCCUACUCCUACGGGAGGCAGCAGUGGGGGAUUUUGGACAAUGGGCGAAGGCCUGAUCCAGCGACGCCGCGUGGAGGACGAAGCCCUUCGGGGUGUAAACUCCUUUUCUCAGGGAAAAAGGAUGAUGGUACCUGAGGAAUAAGCCCCGGCUAACUACGUG
rnacentral:rRNA from 1 species